ACAUGACAAUUAUCUUAUUUUUUCGUUCGUAUGCUUGACAUCAAGUGAAUCAAGAUUAUAAAUAACUGUUGGCUUACUACUGGCAGUACCACAGGUCUUAUGUACAUGAAAGUAUUCCUGAGAACAGAAAUGGCAUUUUUCUUCAUCCUCGAUUAGAGCUCAAUGACAUGAAAAGAUUCAUAUCAUUGAUCCCUAGGACGCUUUGGUGCCCCAUGCAAUGGUUGUCUCCAGCAAUUUUCAGCACAGAUAUAAUAUUCCAACAUGUUUUGUUCGACUUUCUUGUUGUUUAUCUUCAUGAAGCUUAUAUCCAAAUUGAGGAAAAAGUAAUUGUUCAGCUUUUUCUAUAACUGUUUUCAGGGUUUCUGAAGGAUGUCUUUCUGAGUUUUGUUUCAUGUAUUCAGGGCAUGAGAGGACUUCUUUUUUGUGUACAAGUUGGUAUGUAGAUAUAUUAGCUUUUAAUCUUCCUUUUAUUAUUUUAUACUGACUUUUUGGUGUUUUAUGCCAAGAAGUGACUUUGUGUGAUUUCUUGCUACAAAAUAAAUUUAUCAAACUUUAUCACAUAAUAUGAACUUUAUGUUUCAGUAUAAAACUUGUCACGAAUGACAAAGAUUUCCAUGUUUUGUUUGACUUUCUUGUUGUUUAUCUUCAUGUGGCUUAUAUCCAAAUUGAGGAAAAAGUAAUUGUUCAGCUUUUUCUAUCACUGUUUUCAGGGUUUCUG
rnacentral:lncRNA from 1 species